AGCCCUCACCGGCACCUUCCAGGCAGCCGCUGCCUGGAAGGUGCCGGAAGGUGGUCCCGCCCCCCAAAACUCUGAUCCAAUCAAUGCGCUACCCCCCACUUGGAUCGGAGCGCAUAUUCAAACCCACUUGGAGCGCAUUUGGAGCGCAUUGCAUAUUCAAACCCACUUGGAGCGCAUUUGGAGCGCAUUAACCCACUUGGUUCAACAAUUUCAAAGUUUAUGAAGAAAUGGCACCCAGGAAGGUAGGACGGAAGCGGAAGGCCCUGCAGGUGUCAAAAGGUGGACCAUCUGCAAAGAUCGCAAUUUUCCACCAGUCACCACUGGUUGGUGGAGCC